rnacentral:lncRNA from 1 species
AAGGAUGGGUGAGGAAGAAAAAUAGAAAAAUUGUGCAAAAUAGAAAAAUAUUAGAAAAAAAAUUGUAAAAAAAUGAGUAAAAGAAAAAAAAGAAAAAACCACACCCAUUCUAAACAAAAAGGGGGAGAAAAAAGAAUAGAAUAAAAGGAAAAAAUUUAUAAAUAAGUGGGCCACAAAGUAAUUGUAGUGUCAAGGUGGCUUAGUCACUGAAAAAUUUCUAAAAG